rnacentral:rRNA from 1 species
ACGGAGGGUGCAAGCGUUGUUCGGAAUCACUGGGCGUAAAGCGUGCGUAGGCGGCCGGAUAAGUCGGAUGUGAAAGCCCGGGGCUCAACCCCGGAACUGCAUUCGAUACUGUUCGGCUUGAGUAUGGGAGAGGGAAGCGGAAUUCCUGGUGUAGCGGUGAAAUGCGUAGAUAUCAGGAGGAACACCCGUGGCGAAAGCGGCUUCCUGGCCCAUAACUGACGCUGAGGCACGAGAGCGUGGGGAGCAAACAGG